rnacentral:lncRNA from 1 species
GUGGGGAAGAAUUGUAACGAUCCGGUUUUAACAAACCAUAAUUAAAUUUUGGGUUGAUUAUUUAUUUAGACUAAACCAAUCUGAAAAAUAAUUCUGAAAAAUAAUUUCUCCUUAAUGGUUUAGUAAACCAGACAUGCUUAUAUAUUAAUUAUAAAAUGUAUCUAUGUCAUCUUCAGUUCUGUUCUCUUUAAAUGAUUUCAAGGC